GUGCCAGCAGCCGCGGUAAUACAGAGGGGGCAAGCGUUGUUCGGAAUUACUGGGCGUAAAGGGCGCGUAGGCGGCCUUCUAAGUCAGACGUGAAAUCCCCGGGCUCAACCCGGGAACUGCGUCUGAGACUGGAAGGCUCGAAUCCGGGAGAGGGAUGUGGAAUUCCAGGUGUAGCGGUGAAAUGCGUAGAUAUCUGGAGGAACACCGGUGGCGAAGGCGGCAUCCUGGACCGGUAUUGACGCUGAGGCGCGAAAGCCAGGGGAGCAAACGGGAUUAGAUACCCCCGUAGUCC
rnacentral:rRNA from 1 species